CUGGCUCAGGAUGAACGCUGGCGGCGUGCCUAAUACAUGCAAGUCGAACGCACUUCGGUUUUUGAUUGACGGUGCUUGCACCAGAUUGACGAGACAUUGAAGUGAGUGGCGAACGGGUGAGUAACACGUGGGUAACCUGCCCUAAAGUGGGGGAUAACAUUUGGAAACAGAUGCUAAUACCGCAUAACAACGAAAACCACAUGGUUUUCGCUUGAAAGAUGGUUUCRGCUAUCACUUUAGGAUGGACCCGCGGUGCAUUAGCUAGUUGGUAAGGUAACGGCUUACCAAGGCAAUGAUGCAUAGCCGAGCUGAGAGGCUGAUCGGCCACAUUGGGACUGAGACACGGCCCAGACUCCUACGGGAGGCAGCAGUAGGGAAUCUUCCACAAUGGGCGCAAGCCUGAUGGAGCAACGCCGCGUGAGUGAAGAAGGGUUUCGGCUCGUAAAACUCUGUUGUUAAAGAAGAACGUAUCUGAGAGUAACUGUUCAGAU
rnacentral:rRNA from 2 species